ACCUGGAUAACUGUGGUAACUCUAGAGCUAAUACAUGCACUCAAGUCCCGACUCGCGGCAACGCAAGAAAGGAUGCUUUUAUUAGAUCAAAACCAGUCGGGCUGGGGGCAACUCCGGCCCGUACCGUUUGGUGACUCUGGAUAACUUUCCGCUGAUCGCACGGUCUCGCACCGGCGACGCGUCUUUCAAAUGUCUGCCUUAUCAACUGUCGAUGGUAGGUUACGCGCCUACCAUGGUUGCAACGGGUAACGGGGAAUCGGGGUUCGAUUCCGGAGAGGGAGCCUGAGAAACGGCUACCACAUCCAAGGAAGGCAGCAGGCGCGCAAAUUACCCACUCCCGGCACGGGGAGGUAGUGACGAAAAAUAACGAUACGGGACUCUUCCGAGGCCCCGUGAUUGGAAUGAGUACACUUUAAAUCCUUUAACGAGGACCCAUUGGAGGGCAAGUCUGGUGCCAGCAGCCGCGGUAACUCCAGCUCCAAUAGCGUAUAUUAAAGUUGUUGCGGUUAAAAAGCUCGUAGUCGGAAGUCUGUCUUCGGCCGGGUCGCGGCUCUCUGAAUUAAGGGAGUUCCGUUAUGGCUCUGCUGGCCGGGGUGUCUAAGCCCCGGCUGCUUAGCGGUCGGACAACACCGCCGGAGUGUCGAGGGAUCGCCGUGGAUUUCCGCCGGCGAGGGUCAAACCUCGUCGACCGGUGCCCGGGACGAACCUCGACCGUAAUCGUCCGGGGUGCCCUUCACCGGGUGUCUCGGGCGGCCGGCACUGUUUACUUUGAACAAAUUAGAGUGCUCAAAGCAGGUGCAUCCCACGCCUGAAUAUUACAGCAUGGAAUGAUAAAAGAGGACCUCGGUCUUAUUUUGCUGGUCUUUAUUCUUUAGACCCGAGGUAAUGGUCAAUAGAGACGGACGGGGGCAUCCGUACUGCGGCGACAGAGGUGAAAUUCUUGGACCGCCGCAAGACGAACAACAGCGAAGGCAUUUGCCAAGAAUGUUUUCCUUGAUCAAGAACGAAAGUUAGAGGUUCGAAGGCGAUCAGAUACCGCCCUAGUUCUAACCAUAAACGAUGCCAACCAGCAAUCCGCCGGUGUUACUCCCAUGACUCGGCGGGCGGCUUCCGGGAAACCAAAGUUUUUGGGUUCCGGGGGAAGUAUGGUUGCAAAGCUGAAACUUAGAGGAAUUGACGGAAGGGCACCACCAGGAGUGGAGCCUGCGGCUUAAUUUGACUCAACACGGGAAACCUCACCAGGCCCGGACACUGGAAGGAUUGACAGAUUGAGAGCUCUUUCUUGAUUCGGUGGGUGGUGGUGCAUGGCCGUUCUUAGUUGGUGGAGCGAUUUGUCUGGUUAAUUCCGAUAACGAACGAGACUCUAGCCUGCUAAAUAGGUGGCGGG
rnacentral:rRNA from 1 species